CUGACCAGGCAAAACGAUCGCUGGGUGUUAAACCUGGAGGAAAGUCCGAACACCAUAGGACAGGACGCUCCAUAACAUGGAGUCACGGUGACGUGAAGGAAAGUGCAACAGAGAGUAGACCGCCGGUAUCGAUUCAGAUACAGGUAAGGGUGAAACGGUGCGGUAAGAGCGCACCAGUUUUCCGGGUGACUGGAAAAGCUUGGUAAACCCCGUCCGGUGCAAGACCAAAUAGGGAAACGUUUGAGGGUUGUCCGCCCAAGUUUUCGGGUAGGUUGCUUGAGGUGCACGGCAACGUGUAUCCCAGAUGAAUGAUCGUUGACCUGUUUAAGGUAACAAGGACAGGUAACAGAAUUCGGCUUAUCAAUCGGUCAGGCCG
rfam:Deltaproteobacteria bacterium RIFOXYC2_FTLL_48_10 rifoxyc2_full_scaffold_1420, whole genome shotgun sequence.